UGUGUAUUCCUGAUGCUCAUUC
rnacentral:miRNA from 1 species